AUUGAACGCUGGCGGCAUGCCUUACACAUGCAAGUCGAACGGCAGCACGGGAGCAAUCCUGGUGGCGAGUGGCGAACGGGUGAGUAAUAUAUCGGAACGUGCCCAGUCGUGGGGAUAACGUAGCGAAAGCUACGCUAAUACCGCAUACGAUCUAUGGAUGAAAGCGGGGGAUCGCAAGACCUCGCGCGAUUGGAGCGGCCGAUAUCAGAUUAGGUAGUUGGUGAGGUAAAGGCUCACCAAGCCGACGAUCUGUAGCUGGUCUGAGAGGACGACCAGCCACACUGGGACUGAGACACGGCCCAGACUCCUACGGGAGGCAGCAGUGGGGAAUUUUGGACAAUGGGCGCAAGCCUGAUCCAGCAAUGCCGCGUGCAGGAUGAAGGCCUUCGGU
rnacentral:rRNA from 1 species